rnacentral:rRNA from 1 species
AUUGAACGCUGGCGGAAUGCUUUACACAUGCAAGUCGGACGGCAGCACGGACUUCGGUCUGGUGGCGAGUGGCGAACGGGUGAGUAAUAUAUCGGAACGUGCCCAGUCGUGGGGGAUAACGUAGCGAAAGCUACGCUAAUACCGCAUACGACCUACGGAUGAAAGCGGGGGAGCGCAAGACCGCGGGCGUUUGGAACGGCGCGUAUAAGAUUAGGUAGUUGGUGAGGUAAAGGCUCACCAAGCCGACGAUCUGUAGCUGGUCUGAGAGGACGACCAGCCACACUGGGACUGAGACACGGCCCAGACUCCUACGGGAGGCAGCAGUGGGGAAUUUUGGACAAUGGACGCAAGUCUGAUCCAGCCAUUCCGCGCGCAGGACGAAGGCCUUCGGGUUGUAAACUGCUUUUGUACAGAACGAAAAGGUCUCUAUUAAUACUAGGGGCUCAUGACGGUACUGUAAGAAUAAGCACCGGCUAACUACGUGCCAGCCGCCGCCGUAA